rnacentral:rRNA from 1 species
UAAUAGUGUAUAUUAAAGUUGUUGCAGUUAAAAAGCUCGUAGUUGAAUGUUGGUGUCGAACGAGCGGUCAGCUUCGGCUGUACUGCUCUCUCGACUCCUUCCUUCUGUGGACUACGUCGCACUUUACUGUGUGGCGCUAGGACGCAGAUCGUUUACUGUGAAAAAAUUAGAGUGUUCAAAGCAGGCCGUACGCUUGAAUACAUUAGCAUGGAAUAAUGGAAUAGGACGUCGGGCCUAUUUUGUUGGUUCUAGGACCGUCGUAAUGAUUAAUAGGGACAGUUGGGGCCGUUUAUAUUCCGUAGUCAGAGGUGAAAUUCUUGGAUUUACGGAAGAUAAACUACUGCGAAAGCAUUCGGCAAGGAUGUUUUCGUUNA